rnacentral:rRNA from 1 species
AGAGAGAGACAUGCGCGCAUAUCAAUAAGCGGAGGAAAAGAAACUAACUAAGGAUUCCCUUAGUAACGGCGAGUGAAGCGGGAAGAGCUCAAAUUUGAAGUCUUCAAGGUUCUACCUUGACGAAUUGUAGUUUAAAGAAGUGUUUUCGGUUAGAGGAGUUUAGGUAAAAGUUCUUUGGAAUAGGACAUCAUAGAGGGUGAGAAUCCCGUAUUUGACUAUUCUUUCUAGCUUUGUGAUACACUUUCAAAGAGUCGGAUUGUUUGGGAAUGCAGUCCAAAAUGGGUGGUAAAUUUCAUCUAAAGCUAAAUACUGGCGAGAGACCGAUAGCGAACAAGUACCGUGAGGGAAAGAUGAAAAGAACUUUGAAAAGAGAGUUAAACAGUACGUGAAAUUGUCAAAAGGGAAGCGUUAGACACCAGUGUUGUUUUUCUCGAAAAUCAAUUAAAAAGGAUUGGAUUUGUAGGUUAGUAUUGACUUUAUCAGGCUUGCUGCCUCGUUUCUUGGUCUUUUUUGAUGCACUUUUCGGUUAACAAGUCAACAUCAAUUUCUUUUGUUGUAAAAGGGUCAUUGGAAGGUGGCUUUCUUUUCGGAGAAAGUGUUUAUAGCCUUUGGCCUCUGCAAUCGGAGAGAUUGAGGUCUGCAGCGUAGAUCCUUCGGGGUUAGAUACAUUUGUGCUAAGUUAUAGCCUUUCAUAGACAACUUGUUGACUAUGAUCAGUCAUGUAGCUUACUCGCUUAUGCUAUUUUACCUACGCUUAGGAUGUUGACAGCAGUAUAGACUGU